rnacentral:rRNA from 1 species
UACGAAGGGGGCUAGCGUUGCUCGGAAUCACUGGGCGUAAAGGGUGCGUAGGCGGGGUUUUAAGUCAGGGGUGAAAUCCUGGAGCUCAACUCCAGAACUGCCUUUGAUACUGAAAAUCUUGAGUCCGGGAGAGGUGAGUGGAACUGCGAGUGUAGAGGUGAAAUUCGUAGAUAUUCGCAAGAACACCAGUGGCGAAGGCGGCUCACUGGCCCGGUACUGACGCUGAGGCACGAAAGCGUGGGGAGCAAACAGG